GAUGAACGCUGGCGGCGUGCCUAAUACAUGCAAGUCGAGCGAACAGAUGAGGAGCUUGCUCCUCUGACGUUAGCGGCGGACGGGUGAGUAAUACGUGGAUAACCUACCUAUAAGACUGGGAUAACUUCGGGAAACCGGAGCUAAUACCGGAUAAUAUAUUGAACCGCAUGGUUCAAUAGUGAAAGACGGUUUUGCUGUCACUUAUAGAUGGAUCCGCGCCGCAUUAGCUAGUUGGUAAGGUAACGGCUUACCAAGGCAACGAUGCGUAGCCGACCUGAGAGGGUGAUCGGCCACACUGGAACUGAGACACGGUCCAGACUCCUACGGGAGGCAGCAGUAGGGAAUCUUCCGCAAUGGGCGAAAGCCUGACGGAGCAACGCCGCGUGAGUGAUGAAGGUCUUCGGAUCGUAAAACUCUGUUAUUAGGGAAGAACAAAUGCGUAAGUAACUAUGCACGUCUUGACGGUACCUAAUCAGAAAGCCACGGCUAACUACGUG
rnacentral:rRNA from 1 species